CGGAUGCCUUGGCGGUUUUGGCCUAGGAAGGACGUUUGUAUACCAACGAUAUCGUCGGUUAGGCGGUUAGCAGCCUGCGAUCCGGCGGUUUCCGAAUGGGGUAACCCUCCCCCGAUAAUAUCGGGGGAAGGCAAUAGUGAAAGUUCUGUCCAAAAGACAGAAAAAUAGCUGUUGUCAGGGCACCGGGCGAACUGAAACAUCUAAGUAGCCCGAGGAAAAGAAAUCAAUUACGAGAUUCCGUCAGUAGCGGCGAGCGAAAGCGGAAGAGUCUAAACCCCGCCUUUGGCGGGGGGUUGCAGGGCUUCCAAUAUGGGAUGAAAGGAAGGUAACAGAACUGCCUGGAAUGGCAGACCACAGAGAGUGAAAGUCUCGUACGUAAAACCCGAAUUUCCCCUAGGGAGUACCUAAGUACCACGAAGCACGGCAAAACUUCGUGGGAAUCUGGGUGGUCCACCAUCCAAGACUAAACACCAAAACCGACCGAUAGUGAACUAGUACCGUGAGGGAAAGGUUAAAAGUACGCAGGUAAUGCGAGUGAAAUAGUACCUGAAAUUGUCGACUAACAAACAGCGAGAGUCCCGAUUUAUCGUGGAUGAUCGCGUGCCUAUUGAAGAAUGAACCGAUGAGUUGCCGUCCUUUCUUUUGUCUAAGCGAGUAUCUCGCGGAGGCACAGUGAAAGCGAGCCCUAAACGGGCGAAUUAUAGAGAGAGUACGGCAGACCCGAAACCGGGUGAGCUAAGCAUGGACAGGGUGAAUCCCGACGAAAGUCGGGAAGAGGCCCGAACCCGUUGUUGUUGCAAAAACAUGGGAUGAUCUGUGCUUAGGGGUAAUAUGCCAAUCGAACCCGGAGAUAGCUGGUUCUCCUCGAAAUAUAUUUAGGUAUAGCAUUCCGAUUUUGCCCAGGGGUAGAGCACUAGAUGGGAUAUCAAGCUUUUAGCGAGAUAUCUCAAUUAAACUCCGAAUACUGGUAGCAUUUUGUCGGAAUAGUCAGUCCGGCUCGGCUAAGCGAGUCAGGUCAAGCGGGGAAACAACCCAAACUCCCAAUUAAGGCCCCUAAAUUUUAGCUAAGUUGUAAAGGAAGUGAGAUUUCCCAGACACCCAGGAGGUUGGCUUAGAAGCAGCCAUCCUUCAAAGAGUGCGUAACAGCUCACUGGAUGAGAAAUCUCGCGCCGAAAAUGAACGGGGAUAAGCUAAAUGCCGAAAUUGGAGUCCCGCCUCUGGCGGGAGGUAGAGGAGCGUUCCUGUUGCAGUGAAGCUCAUUCCGUAAGGGAGGGUGGAGCGGCAGGAAGUGAGAAUGUCGGUAUGAGUAGCGAGAGUCCGAUGAAAAUUCGGACCGCCGUAAGCCCAAGGUUUCCGUCCCAACGUUCAUCGGGGACGGGUUAAUCGGAUCUAAGGCGAGUCCCUCCGAUUCGGAGGGGGUAGCUCGAUGUACAAGCCGUAGAAAUUCGGCUAUAGCUUUGAGAAGUUUCCUAGGGGAUGACGAGAUUGGAGCAGCGGAGUCUCGUACACACGGGAUUUAAAUCAUAAGAUAGUGAUAAUCGGAAAAUCCAUUAUUGCGUUUAAUCGAGUGAUGACGGAGAGUUCAAUGUUGAAAGACUGCGGACAAUUCCGCACGUUUCAGUGUCCAAGAAAAAUCUCACAGGCCCUCCGAUUCGGAGGGAAAUCUCAAGGUUUCCGUACCGCAAACCGACACAGGUGGGCUGGUAGAGUAUACUAAGGCGAACGGGAGAAAACGGUUCAAGGAACUCGGCAAAACAGCUGGGCGUAACCUAUGGGAGAUGCCCUGCCCCGAUUUAUCGGGGCCGCAGCAAAUGACGCUAACCGACUGUUUAACUAAAACACAGGUCUCUGCAAAGCCGAAAGGCAACGUAUAGGGGCUGACGCCUGCCCAGUGCACGAAGGUUAAGAUUCUUGGGUGACUCUCCAAAAGAGAUAAGCUUAGGACUCAAGCCCGUGUGAACGGCAGCAGUAACUAUAACUGUUCUAUGGUAGCGAAAUUCCUUGUCGGGUAAGUUCCGACCCGCACGAAAGGCAGAACGAGUUAGCGACUGUCUUGAGCCGUUACCCGGCGAAAUUGAAAUGGCUGUGAAGAUGCGGCCUACUUGCACCUGGACAAAAAGACCCCGUGGAGCUUUACUGUAGCUUGGCAUUGGGAAGACGUUUGAAACUGUCGAGAAUAGGAGGGACCCCGCACCAUCCGGUGCAGGGAUCAGUGGAAUACCUCUCUUUUUAAUCGUCAACCCUAAUCUCUUGGCCGCUCAAACAACCGGCAGGGAGACAGUGUCUGGUGGGCAGUUUCGCUGGGGAGGUGGCCUCCAAAAGUGUAACGGAGGCGUACAAAGGUCGGCUUAUCCCGGAUGGAAAUCGGGAUGUAAGUGCAAACGCAAAAGCCGGCUUGACUGAGAGACUUACAAGUCGAACAGGCGCGAAAGCGGGUGUUAGUGAUCCUCGGAUCCGCCGUGGUUGCGGACCGAGCUUAACGGAUAAAAGCUACCCCGGGGAUAACAGGCUGAUCGGGCCCGAGAGUCCAUAUCGACGGCCCGGUUUGGCACCUUAUGCAAUAAGCAUCGGGGUGCCUGUGCAGUAAUGUACAAGUCUGGUCCCGAAUUGCACCUAACCCAUGCAAUUCGCGGAAAAAAUUUACUAGUCCAAAUCGGUGAACUCCUUCUCCGCCAAAUGGCGGAUCAGGACAACACCGAGGGAAUCCUUCGUUCUGAUGAACUCAGGACGGGGACCCGUAUCGACUGAUUCCCGAUACAAUUGUAUCGAGGAUGAGAUAGAAGUUCUUAAUAAAAAUUUUCCUUCUAUCAUACGGCUAGCCCCUCCGAAUCGGAGGGUGAAGGUAUAGUCAACAUCUUCCGGUAACGGAAGAACAAACGACAAGCGAUGUCGGCUCAUCCUAUCCUGGAGGUGGAGAAGCUUCCAAGGGUCCGGCUGUUCGCCGGUUAAAAGGGUACGCGAGCUGGGUUCAGAACGUCGUAAGACAGUAGACCAAUAAUGGUACGACAUCAUUAUUAAUUAGAGCUGUCUUUCCUUCAACGUUUUGGACAAUAAGAGGAAAUGAAGGAGAUCGCCCGUCCAGGGCGAAAUAAAUCUGGCUAAAUGCUGGAAAAUCCGAAGAAUCGUGUGAUACUUGAGAAGUAAUUAAAAUAGAGAUAACAUAUCUCUAUGAUCUCAAGUGAUAACUCAUCACGUGCGGACAAUCAGCAGGUAACCGAAGAAAAAAUAUCUAAUGAAUAUCUUUGUGGCUUUGUAGAUGGUGAGGGAUGUUUCUAUGUAGGAUUUGGAAAACGUACAGAUCUUCCAUUAAAAUGGCAGAUUAUUACAGAAUUCCAUUUAAGUCAAAAUCCGGGAGGGAAGAAUGUUCUCGAAACAUUUAUAAAAAGAUUAGGUUGCGGAUAUUUAAAACCUAACCACCCUGGAAGUCUAAAAGACAAGACGUGGGUUUUAAUUGUAAAAGAUAGAAAGGAUAUAAAAAAUAAAUUAAUUCCUUUCUUUUUGGAACAUCCAUUACAGACUAUAAAGAGAUUAGAAUUUUUAAUAUUUAAACAGGUAAUUGAGGUAAUAGAAAAUAAGCAACAUUUGAAUGAAAACGGAUUCAGAAGAAUAGUUGAACUCGUUUUCAGUUUGCCUAGAUCUACAAAUAAAAGAUAUUCUAAAGAUAAACUUCUUCGGCACCUCAGAGACUAUAUGCCAGACCCCACCAUGGCGGGGAAGAUAUAGUCCGAACUGUAUGGCGACAUGCAGAGUAUGGCAGAAAUGUCCAUACUCCUGAUGUAAUCAGGAUAACAAAUUGUCGGUCUCUAUCCGGUGCAAGCGUUAGAUACUUGAGGGGAGCUCUUGCUAGUACGAGAGGACUGCGAGGGAGGAAUCCCUGGUGUGCCAGUUGUGGGACUGAGUCCUGCAGCAAGCUGGAUAGCUACAUUCCUACGGGAUAAGCGCUGAAAGCAUCUGAAGCGCCAAGCCCACCCCAAGAUAAGGUAUCUUUAUGAGACCCCUUGUAGACUACAAGGUUGAUAGGCGGAAAGUGUACGCACCGCAAGGUGUUUAGCUCAUCCGUACUAAUUGGUCCAGAGU
rnacentral:rRNA from 1 species